GGCGGACAUAUAUACCGGUGGCACCGCCUCCCUCGUCCCUUUUGCUGAGCCGGUGAGUGCAGCGCGGUGGCCUGGGGCCGGCCAUGAUACAUCAAGCAAGUUCUUCCCUCACUGGUAACUACAAAACUGCAGACCGAGACCUGAUGCUACUUGCUAAGGAUUUAAUGGAGGAAGUUGGAAGCCCCAUAGAAAGAAGAUUAUCUGGCCUGGAAGGUGAAUCCUGAUGAUGAAAGGCUGUGUUAAAUAGAUUGGCUUCGGAUGACCACCUGCACGAUGUAUGGAGAUAAAAAUUCCAACUUGAACACAGUUCCAUAUUGUUUGCAGGGAGAGUAGAGCACAGAACACUUCAUACAAAGGCUUCCAGAGGGUGCUUGGAUAUCCUGCAUCUGGCUUGGAUUUUCCUGUUUCAUGGUUGGUUGUUUGAGUUGUCCUUACACUCUGCUUCAUUCCAGGACUGGGGUGACUUGGAUGUACAGAGUGCUGCUAUUAGCAGUGGUCCUGGCCCUGCCUUGAAUAAACUUGGCAUUAAUAUUAGAAGAUGAUGGAUGAUCAGGACAGCAUUUCAAGUGAGGGCUGGAGCGCACUCCUGGAAAAAGGAUCACUUUGCUGAGAGUAAAGUUGGUCAAACAUGCAGUGAAGCAAUCAGCCCUCUGCCUGCCUGAGAGAGAGCAAGAUUGGUUUGAAUGGGACAGUUGAGGAAUCAGAAAGUGUGAAGGCAUCGGAUUGUGUUUCCAGCAACUCCUAAGUUUUGCCCACAGAAGACAGUGCCCCUGCUUCUGAGGUGCUUGGGUAUAGCCAUGGAGGGUUCAGAGUCAAUCCUGCAGCAGUGGGUGUGUCAAGCUGGAGGGAAGCAGUCUCUCUGCCACCCCAUUUAGACUAUCAGUUUGGCCUGGAGUCCUUCCUCCGCAGUCCUGCCUGCACUCAGAGCUCACCAGGACCAUUUAAGGGGCUUGCAAGGGUGUUGAAAGGACAGAUGAGGCAGCAGUACUUGCUGUGUUCUACGCUUGCCACAAUAGGUGACAUGACUUCUGGAUGAAGAGUAGUCUACAAAUUUGUGCAGAAAAGAUUACAUUCAGAAUGUCUUGUUGCCCCACUUGUCACAUGCUUCUACAUUGAUACACACUUUAGUCUGUUGCUAUAUAUCCAAUUAAGAAACUAGACUUGCUCUGAACUUUUGCUAUGUGUCUUUUAACCAGCACUAAGUAGACUUUAGAAGUAAAAUAACAGCUGUUUAAGAAAUUUGAAAUGUGCUAAAAUAAACUCAUCACAAAUGA